GUAGAGAGAGAAUUUUCUUUUCAUUUUGGAGUGGGUCGGCAUCUCUCGAUCUAGCCGAGUUCUCCAUCAGUUCUCAUUUGCUUCCUCUGCCUACGGGCAGGGGAAGGCAUUGCUUCGUUUUUGUCUCAUCUCAGUGUUUGUUUGCUCUCCGGUGUUGGAAUUAGAACUAUAUAUGCUUUGCUUGGUGUGUUUUUGCAGAUCCGGGUUUCAUGAGAGAGGAGCUUUUUACAGAUCUGCAUAGGAACUUUGUUUUUCUUUAGAGCAGAACCACUAGUUGAGAUCGGUGGUCAUCAUCUUCUGGAGGGUACAUGCAUGCUUGGUGAUAGAUAACUUGGGGUUGUUAAGCUUGCUCGGUUAGGUGGCUGUUUGCUCGUCUCCCCAAGGCUAUACGAGAUUGAGAUGCCAUGAGCUCUAUCAUCUCCCCCUCCUAUGACUGCUGAUGGUGGUGGCAGUCUCUCCAAUAGUCUAGCACCUAGUUAGUUUGAUGUCCAAGGUAAUACUUUUGGUCAGCAUGUGUUUCCUGCUUGCUGAUGUAGUAUCAUGGUGUGGGCCUGCUAGUUCAUUUCAUCUUCGUUAACAAAAAAGAAUACUGGCUCUGUAUGGGUCCCAUCUCCGACAGUAGCCUUGAGCGGCGGCUCUGUAUAAAGUCUGGUGUUUUGCUUGAGCAGGACUCCUAGGGUUUGUUUUCUGGGCUAGGUUUAAUAUUGUGGGUUUAGCCAAUAGAGCUUUGGGUUUUUGCUGGGCUUGGUUUUUUAUCUUGUUCUCCUUGUUA
rnacentral:misc_RNA from 1 species